rnacentral:rRNA from 1 species
CCUACGGGAGGCAGCAGUGGGGAAUAUUGGGCAAUGGGCGCAAGCCUUACCCAGCAACGCCGCGUGAAGGAAGAAGGCUUUCGGGUUGUAAACUUCUUUUCUCAGGGACGAAGCAAGUGACGGUACCUGAGGAAUAAGCCACGGCUAACUACGUGCCAGCAGCCGCGGUAAUACGUAGGUGGCAAGCGUUAUCCGGAUUUACUGGGGGUAAAGGGGGUGUAGGCGGGAAAGCAAGUCAGAGGUGAAAACCAUGGGCUUAACCUGUGGGCUGCAUUUAAAACUGUUUUUCUUGAGUACUGGAGAGGCAGACGGAAUUCCUAGUGUAGCGGUGAAAUGCGUAGAUAUUAGGAGGAACACCAGUGGCGAAGGCGGUCUGCUGGACUGCAACUGACGCUGAGGCGCGAAAGCGUGGGGAGCAAACAGGAUUAGAUACCCCAGUAGUC